rnacentral:rRNA from 1 species
ACAGCGGAGAGUUUGAUCCUGGCUCAGGAUGAACGCUAGCGGCAGGCUUAACACAUGCAAGUCGAGGGGCAGCGGG